rnacentral:rRNA from 1 species
UCUACGGGUGGCAGCAGUGAGGAAUAUUGGUCAAUGGACGAGAGUCUGAACCAGCCAAGUAGCGUGAAGGAUGACUGCCCUAUGGGUUGUAAACUUCUUUUAUAUGGGAAUAAAAUGUUCCACGUGUGGGAUUUUGUAGGUACCAGAUGAAUAAGGAUAGGCUAACUCCGGGACAGCAGCCGCGGUAAUACGGAGGAACCGGGCGUUAUCCGGUUUUAUUGGGUUUAAAGGGAGCGUAGGUGGAUGGUUAAGUCAGUUGUGUAGGUUUGCGGCGCAACCGUAAAAUUGCAGUUGACACUGGCAGUCUUGAGUACAGUAGAGGUGGGCGGAAGUCGUGGUGUAGCGGUGAAAUGCUUAGAUAUCACGAAGAACUCCGAUUGCGAAGGCAGUUCACUGGACUGCAACUGACACUGAGGCUCGAAAGUGUGGGUAUCAAACAGGAUUAGAUACCCGUGUAGUC